CACCAGCACCAGAACCACUUGAGGAUGGAACAUCAACAGCUUCUGAAAGUUUGCCAUUCUCAUACACUGGAGUAGAUGCAUCCUUCAAUGGAGAAGCUUUUUCUGCAUUAGCCCUCAAGGGCCACUGGUCUGUAGGAUGAAUGACAAGAGCUCUUGGGUUUUCCCGAGGAAUAAAAAGAGCAUCUGCCUUUGGCGUGCUGGUUGUUUCCUCUUCAUCACUAAAAAAUGGAACCUUUGGACCAUCAUGCUUAUGAUUAUAUUUCCUUGCAGGUAACCUAAUCCGUCUUUGUGACAGGUGCCUAGCAGUCAGCAAGGAUGAUAUUCUAACAGGAGCAGGCUUGUCAACCACAGGCAUGCUAGAAAUCCCAUAUUGAACUGAAGGUGUAGUCCCAGCUCGACCAAUAGACAUUUGAGGCAUUGCAGGCAGUGUCCCGAAUGGAUUCGUAACAGGUGCAGGCUGUAGAGCAACAGAACUCUGAGUAGUAGACAAUUGUCCAAAAGUGCUCUGACCAAAGAUGCUUGACGAACCAGCAAAUCCGCUUGUGCUAGCUGCUUGUGACUGACCAAAAUUGCCAAACCCAGGGAGACUUGUAGAAGGUUGAGAGAGUUGAAAAGGCGUAGAUUGAGAUAAAGUUGUUUGACCAAACACCCCUUGGUUGGUUGAACACAUCAGCGAUGAAGUGCUUGAGAAUGCAAAACCGCUAGGAGUAUUGAAUAUGCUUGACUGGGUGAAAGAGGGGGUGGUACUCGGUGCAAAAGAAGAGGUAGCCUGUCCAAAAGCAGAACUUGUCUGACCAAUUGAAGGUACAGUGGAUUGGAAUGAGAGAGAUGGCUGAGUGUUGGCAAAAUUUCCAAACAGUGAGGAACUUGUUUGUCCUGUGCUUGAAUUAAACAAGGAUGGUGAUGAACCAAAUGCAGAGGAGCUGGAUGUGCCAAAAAGAGAUGGAGCUGCACUGCCUGGAAAUGCAGUGGAUGAACUGGAUCCAAAAGCUGAGGUAGACUGAAAAGGAUUAGAUGAAGGUGAUGCAGUGAAAGGUGAAGGACUGAACGAAGGCGUACUGGAGGUUCCAAAAGGUUUGGUAGAAAAUGGGUUGGAGGAAAUUGUUGAAGAAAAGGGACUAGCAGCUGACUGAGCAAAUGUAUUUGAAGGAGCAAAAGGAUUUGAUGGUGCACUGGAGACACCAAAAUUAUUCACAACAGAGGAUUGACCAGGAGGAAGUGGUCCACCUUUGUCUCCUAAUUGAUAAUCUUCCCACCUCAGUUCCUCAUGGCUUUUAUCUUUGUACACAGGCAUUGCUGAUAUAGACUCUAACUUUCCAGGCGUUCCACCACUACUCUCUGUUUCAGCUGUUGCUGAGUAAGCCACUGCUCUACUUCCCCCACGAUGCCCUGCAAAUGCUGAUUGCCCAAAUCCGGUAUUCCCAAAUGUUGGUGUCGUAGCCUGGGAUCCAAAUGGUGAACUCUGGGAACUAAAAGGAGAUGUAGUAGUUCCAAAUGGACUGCUCCCAAAUGCAGACGCUGAUUGACCAAAACCUGGGCUGGAUGAAAAGCUAAAGGAUGGAGUACUUGAAGUCCCAAAUGCAGAGGUACUCCCAAAGGCAGGAGUAGUUGAAGCCCCAAAGGCAGGAGUGCUAGAAGUUGCAAAUCCAGGAGUGCUUGAAACACCAAAAGCAGAACCUGCAGCACCAAAGGCAGGGGUGCUUGAAGUUGCAAAGCUGCCCCCAGAUCCAAAUACUGGGGUGCUAGACACACCAAAUCCAGUUCCUGUACCAAAUGCUGGACUUGCUGUUGAGCCAAAUGUACUAGUGGUACCAAAGGAUGGAGUGCUAGCACCAAAGCCCAGAGUGCUGCUUGUACCAAAGGAAGGAGUGGUGCUGGUAGAACCAAAGGUAGCACCUGUUGAACCAAAUGCAGACUGACUUGAUGCACCAAAAGGUGUGGUAGAACCAAAUAAGCUGCUCCCAAAAGCAGGCUGUGAUUGCUGACUUGUACUUGCAAAUGGACUUGUUUGAGGAGUAGACCCAAAGCCUCCAAAAGCAGGCUUCUGGCCAAAGACAGAAGAACCACCAAAUGAAGUUGAAGAAUUACCAAAAGCAGAUGUAGAAGAAGAACCUCCAAAUGCGGGCAUGGUGCUGCCAAAAGCUGGUGAAGAUGAAGCACCAAAAGGAGUAGCGGAAGAGAAAGGUGAGGAUGUUUGGGGAGUGCCAAACAUACCAGUUGAAGUUCCCCCAAAAAUGGAACCCCCGGUUUGUGAACCAAAAGGGGUUGUACUACCAAAGGGUUUAGGAGCAAACGGAUUAUUGUUUGCAUUACUUGUCUGACCAAAUACUGCUUGGGAACCAAAUGGGCUGCUAGACGACUGCCCAAAAGCGGUAGUAGAACCAAACAUACUUCCUUCCAAAAUCAGCUACAAUUUGUCAAUACCAAUCUCCCACUGGAACUGCAAAUGUGGAAAUUAGGGCUUUCAGGGAACCAGAGGUGGAUCUGAAUCGUUCAAAGAUGCAAAAGAGAUGGAAGAUAGAGUGUGUGUGAAUGUUGAAAGAGAGUGGGAGAGAGAGAUGAGAAGGGUUUGCCA
rnacentral:misc_RNA from 1 species